rnacentral:rRNA from 1 species
UACAGAGGGGGCAAGCGUUAUUCGGAAUUAUUGGGCGUAAAGGGCGCGUAGGCGGCCUGGCAAGUGGAAGGUGAAAUCCCUCGGCUUAACCGAGGAACUGCCCUCCAAACUGCUUGGCUUGAGUCCGGGAGAGGUGAGUGGAAUUCCCAGUGUAGCGGUGAAAUGCGUAGAUAUUGGAAGGAACACCAGUGGCGAAGGCGGCUCACUGGACCGGAACUGACGCUGAGGCGCGAAAGCGUGGGGAGCAAACGGG